AAUAUAUAUAAGUCGAGGCUUUAGGUAGCUAAAGCGCGGGGGACCCAAUUUAAUAUGGGGCGAAUUCCUCAGUUUGAGGAUAAGGCACUCAUAAGCUCGAGCCCGUCAGCUAACCUCGUAGACUUUUAUGAGGGUGCAA
rnacentral:sRNA from 1 species